GAUGAACGCUGGCGGCGUGCCUAAUACAUGCAAGUCGAGCGAACAGACGAGGAGCUUGCUCCUCUGACGUUAGCGGCGGACGGGUGAGUAACACGUGGAUAACCUACCUAUAAGACUGGGAUAACUUCGGGAAACCGGAGCUAAUACCGGAUAAUAUAUUGAACCGCAUGGUUCAAUAGUGAAAGCCGGUUUUGCUGUCACUUAUAGAUGGAUCCGCGCCGCAUUAGCUAGUUGGUAAGGUAACGGCUUACCAAGGCAACGAUGCGUAGCCGACCUGGGAGGGUGAUCGGCCACAGUGGGACUGAGACACGGUCCAGACUCCGACGGGAGGCAGCAGUAGGUAAUCUUCCGCAAUGGGCGAAAGCCUGACGGAUCAACGCCGCGUGAGUGAUGAAGGUCUUCGGAUCGUAAAACUCUGUUAUUAGGGAAGAACAAAUGUGUAAGUAACGAUGCACGUCUUGACGGUACCUAAACAGAAAGCCACGGCUAACUACGUG
rnacentral:rRNA from 1 species